rnacentral:rRNA from 2 species
CCUCGGAUCAGGUAGGAAUACCCG